AUACGGAGGGUGCAAGCGUUACUCGGAAUCACUGGGCGUAAAGCGCGCGCAGGCGGUCUUUUAAGUUGGAUGUGAAAGCCUACAGCUCAACUGUAGAACUGCAUCCAAAACUAUUAGACUAGAGUCUGGGAGGGGAAGAUGGAAUUAGUUGUGUAGGGGUAAAAUCCGUAGAGAUAACUAGGAAUACCAAAAGCGAAGGCGAUCUUCUGGAACAGUACUGACGCUGAGGCGCGAAAGCGUGGGGAGCAAACAGGAUUAGAAACCCGAGUAGUCC
rnacentral:rRNA from 1 species